GAUGAACGCUGGCGGCGUGCCUAAUACAUGCAAGUCGAGCGAACGGACGAGAAGCUUGCUUCUCUGAUGUUAGCGGCGGACGGGUGAGUAACACGUGGAUAACCUACCUAUAAGACUGGGAUAACUUCGGGAAACCGGAGCUAAUACCGGAUAAUAUUUUGAACCGCAUGGUUCAAAAGUGAAAGACGGUCUUGCUGUCACUUAUAGAUGGAUCCGCGCUGCAUUAGCUAGUUGGUAAGGUAACGGCUUACCAAGGCAACGAUGCAUAGCCGACCUGAGAGGGUGAUCGGCCCACCUGGAACUGGGCACCGGUCCAACCCCCUACGGGAGGCAGCAGGAGGGAAUUUUCCGCAAGGGGCGAAAGCCUGACGGGGCAACGCCGGGGGGGUGAUGAAGGUUUUCGGAUCGUAAAACUCUUUUAUUAGGGAAGAACAAAUGUGUAAGUAACGGUGCCAAUUUUGCCGGUACCUAAUCAAAAAGCCCCGGCUAACUACGU
rnacentral:rRNA from 1 species